UACGUAGGGUGCAAGCGUUGUCCGGAAUUAUUGGGCGUAAAGAGCUCGUAGGCGGUUUGUCGCGUCUGCUGUGAAAACGCGGGGCUCAACUCCGCGCCUGCAGUGGGUACGGGCAGACUAGAGUGCAGUAGGGGAGACUGGAAUUCCUGGUGUAGCGGUGAAAUGCGCAGAUAUCAGGAGGAACACCGAUGGCGAAGGCAGGUCUCUGGGCAUUAACUGACGCUGAGGAGCGAAAGCUGGGGAGCGAACAGG
rnacentral:rRNA from 1 species